CAUUGGAUGAAAAAAAGACUCUUGCAACAACAUACAAAUUGUUUGCUGAAAAUGUUGAUAGUAUGCUGAACCAAUGCAAUCGUACAAAGCUGGAUCUCAUUGAUAUGGCAUUUUUUCCAAUUUGUGCAUUUGAGCAUUACUACUUGAUUGUCUACCACUUGAAGAAUUGGAGUUAUGAAAUCAUAGACAACAUUGAUAGAUCAAAAAUUGAUCCAAAAAAAUGCUAUGGCGAAAAGCCAAAGAUUCUGCAUUCUCACUUUGUGAAAUAUCUGCACGCGAAGGGUCAUGUUGGUAUUUCAGGAAAAGUUAAAAAGAUGAAGCCAUCAUAUCUAAAUUUGCCAUGGCAGACAAGGAACAACUCCAUUGAUUGUGGAGUUUUCCUCAUGCGACACAUGGAAAGUUACAAAGGAGAUCUAAAAUCAUGGUCAACUGGAUUGA